rnacentral:tRNA from 1 species
GCCCCCUGGAUAGCUCAGUUGGUUACAGCAUGGUGCUGAUAAUGCCAAGGUUGCAGGUUUGAUCCCUUUAUGGGACA